AACGAACGCUGGCGGCGUGCCUAACACAUGCAAGUCGUGCGAGAAAGUUCCUUCGGGAGCGAGUAAAGCGGCGCACGGGUGAGUAACACGUAGGAAUCUGCCCUGGGGUGGGGGAUAACUAGUCGAAAGAUUAGCUAAUACCGCAUAUGCCGUGAGGUAAAAGGAGUAAUCCGCCCGAGGAUGAGCCUGCGUCCGAUUAGCUAGUUGGUAGGGUAAAAGCCUACCAAGGCUACGAUCGGUAGCUGGUCUGAGAGGAUGAUCAGCCACAAUGGGACUGAGACACGGCCCAUACUCCUACGGGAGGCAGCAGUGGGGAAUUUUACGCAAUGGGGGAAACCCUGACGUAGCGACACCGCGUGAGCGAAGAAGCCCUUUGGGGUGUAAAGCUCUGUCAGCAGGAACGAAUAAAUGACGGUACCUGCAGAGGAAGCAUCGGCUAACUACGUGCCAGCAGCCGCGGUAAU
rnacentral:rRNA from 1 species